rnacentral:rRNA from 1 species
UACGUAGGGUGCGAGCGUUGUCCGGAAUUAUUGGGCGUAAAGAGCUCGUAGGCGGUCUGUCGCGUCGAUCGUGAAAACUUGGGGCUUAACCCUGAGCUUGCGGUCGAUACGGGCAUGACUGGAGUUCGGCAGGGGAGACUGGAAUUCCUGGUGCAGCGGUGAAAUGCGCAGAUAUCAGGAGGAACACCGGUGGCGAAGGCGGGUCUCUGGGCCGAUACUGACGCUGAGGAGCGAAAGCGUGGGGAGCGAACAGG